GGAAUGUUUUCCUAUACCCCCUCUUGAUGGAAGAGAGGGAGAACGACGACGAGAGAAUCUUAGGGCGCGUGAGUGACGAACGCGACGCGCGGUUGAAAGCGUGCGAGAAGUGGUGAGAGAAGCGAGAGCGCGAACGCAAUGUUUUAUGCAAAAGGAGGGGAAGUGAGUGACCGUCGUCGGUUUGAUGGUGUGGAGGCGCGUUGGGUGGUGAGUGACUUCGUAUGUACAAGGGGGAAGCGCGUGCGAAGCGUCCGUGAGAGAAUGCGUUACGGCGAGGUGGAUAUGCGAGCAGGUGGUUUGUGUGUAUGCGCAGGGUUAUGUACUGCUGAGAGUUACGGUGAAGAGAGCACGGGAGAGCGUGCGAGCGUGCACAUUUCAGGGCGAGGGAGCGAGCGGUGUUGAUAAAUGUGUGUGCAUCGCGUAGCGUAGUCACGUUCGUUGCUGGAUCCCCGCUCACGUGCGCAUUCUCCCAGGACGCCAACCGCCGCGUGCCGUCCUCGCACCACUUCGACGGCUGUGCGGAUCUGCGGUCCGUGGCUCUCUGCCUGUGUGCACUUUGCAAACCGUAUGUGCAGGCGGUGGCAGCGGCCGCACUCAGAGGAUCGCCGGAACGAGGGAACCCCGGGUUGGUUGGCCUGACUGGAUGCACUGACGGACGCGGUGGGGUUUCGGUUAUGUACUGCGCCUCUAGUAGUAGGUUCCGCUGCCGUACCAUGCCGUGCCGUGGUGGUGGUUCUAUGUGGUUGUACGACGACGAAGACGAUGACGGUCGGCGGAGAGUCUCUAUGUGCGCGCCUAUGUGUGCUGGCCGCAGCCGAGUGCGAUUUUUCCCUAGCACAGAAACGCAGCGCUGCGUUCUGUGUUCAAACGUCAGUUCAAUACAAGUCGCUGUUCGGCCGCAUCUUACACAAAAUCUUUUCAGUUUUUCCCUAAAUUUCUAAAACAAAAGUAAUGUAACAAAGUCGUCAAUCCAAAACAAAACAAAAAAAAAUCAAGAAGCCAUAUUUGAAGAAAAUCGCGGAAAUUCGAAUUCUUGAUCUAAUUAAGCAAACAAAAACAUACAAGUUUAUUUGAGUGAGUGUCAUAUUUCAUUGUCAACAACAACAACAACUGCAGAAAAGUUCGAUCAACGCGUCAUCAACUUCACUUUCCGUUCCGUCAUCGAGCAGCCCUUGCUUUCUUCUGCAAACCACACAAUCACGGAAGACGCGCGAAAAAGUGGGAGGAGUAGAAAAGUUUCCAAAAAAAAGUGCGUGUGACUCUAACAAAAAAAAGUGCAUCCAAAAGUGCAGCAAGAAGAAAAAAAACCGCCUCGUUCGAUAACACGCGCGCUGCUGAUCUUAGCGGAAGAAGAAAAAGUCAAAAGAGCAAUGUCACAUCGGCCAAACUCCGCCUCCUACGUCGAUAACAACAUCAACAACAACAGCAACAACAAACAAAACACCAACAACAACAGCAACAGCAGCAACUGCGUUGACGAACACCGACGAUGGGAUUACUACAACAACGGCCAAUAAUUAUGGUGAACACUCCUCCCUGAAGCUCCUCGGAUUGAUCGUCGGGUUGAUCAUCGAUUGAUUUUUUUCGUUUUCUGUACUAAUUCAAGAAGAAAGCUUCGGCAAAA